rnacentral:rRNA from 3 species
GAUAGCUUGCUAUCAAUGCUGACGAGCGGCGGACGGGUGAGUAAUGCCUGGGAAUAUGCCCUGAUGUGGGGGAUAACUAUUGGAAACGAUAGCUAAUACCGCAUAAUCUCUUCGGAGCAAAGAGGGGGACCUUCGGGCCUCUCGCGUCAGGAUUAGCCCAGGUGGGAUUAGCUUGUUGGUGGGGUAAUGGCUCACCAAGGCAACGAUCCCUAGCUGGUCUGAGAGGAUGAUCAGCCACACUGGAACUGAGACACGGUCCAGACUCCUACGGGAGGCAGCAGUGGGGAAUAUUGCACAAUGGGGGAAACCCUGAUGCAGCCAUGCCGCGUGUAUGAAGAAGGCCUUCGGGUUGUAAAGUACUUUCAGUUGUGAGGAAGGCGUUGAUGUUAAUAGCUUCAGCGUUUGACGUUAGCAACAGAAGAAGCACCGGCUAACUCCGUGCCAGCAGCCGCGGUAAUACGGAGGGUGCGAGCGUUAAUCGGAAUUACUGGGCGUAAAGCGCAUGCAGGUGGUCUGUUAAGCAAGAUGUGAAAGCCCGGGGCUCAACCUCGGAACAGCAUUUUGAACUGGCAGACUAGAGUACUGUA